rfam:Otolemur garnettii contig012451, whole genome shotgun sequence.
AUUCAGGCUUUAUUAAAAGCCAUUGGUAUAGGAAAGAGGUUUAUAU